rnacentral:rRNA from 1 species
UACGAAGGGGGCUAGCGUUGUUCGGAAUUACUGGGCGUAAAGCGCGCGCAGGCGGUCCUUCAAGUCAGAGGUGAAAGCCCAGAGCUCAACUCUGGAAUGGCCUUUGAGACUAGAGGACUUGGGUACGGGAGAGGUGAGUGGAAUUCCGAGUGUAGAGGUGAAAUUCGUAGAUAUUCGGAGGAACACCAGUGGCGAAGGCGGCUCACUGGUCCGGUACUGACGCUGAGGUGCGAAAGCGUGGGGAGCAAACAGG